UACGAAGGGGGCUAGCGUUGCUCGGAAUCACUGGGCGUAAAGGGUGCGUAGGCGGGUCUUUAAGUCAGGGGUGAAAUCCUGGAGCUCAACUCCAGAACUGCCUUUGAUACUGAGGAUCUUGAGUUCGGGAGAGGUGAGUGGAACUGCGAGUGUAGAGGUGAAAUUCGUAGAUAUUCGCAAGAACACCAGUGGCGAAGGCGGCUCACUGGCCCGGAACUGACGCUGAGACGCGAAAGCGUGGGGAGCAACAGG
rnacentral:rRNA from 1 species